CGUGGCAAAUCAAUGUUUGAAAACCGGGUUUUUUCUUUUCUUUUUGCUCAAAUACGUCCAAUGCUUCAACUGGGCAUUCUUAAUUUCUUUAUUUGCCCAUUCAGGGAUAUAUUCAGAUCAUAGCUCUCGACUAAUGAAAUUUCUUAAAUUCUUCCGGCUAUUAUAUAAUAUUAUAAAUAAGACGUUCACUACAUAGAAAUGAAUAAAUGUCGGCAACUCAUUCAUUGUGAGUCAUUUGAUAAUAUGGUGUUGUUGUAGAUGAAGAUUAUAUUGUUUAAAUUAUAGAGUGACUUUCUUUAGACUCGCUUUCAAGAACUGUAAAUACAAUUUAAUAUCGUGGAAAUAGGUUUUGUAUGCUGUUAAAAAUUCACAUGUAUAAAAACA